ACGACUGCUAAGACUGGAUAGGAGACAAGAAGGCAUCUUCUUGUUUUUAAAAGACCUAGCAAUAGGUAUGCUUAGGGAGGAGCUUGCGUCACAUUAGUUAGUUGGUGGGGUAAAGGCCUACCAAGACUAUGAUGUGUAGCCGGGCUGAGAGGUUGAACGGCCACAUUGGGACUGAGACACGGCCCAAACUCCUACGGGAGGCAGCAGUAGGGAAUUUUCGGCAAUGGAGGAAACUCUGACCGAGCAACGCCGCGUGAACGAUGAAGUAUUUCGGUACGUAAAGUUCUUUUAUUAGGGAAGAAUAAAUGAUGGAAAAAUCAUUCUGACGGUACCUAAUGAAUAAGCCCCGGCUAACUAUGUGCCAGCAGCCGCGGUAAUACAUAGGGGGCAAGCGUUAUCCGGAAUUAUUGGGCGUAAAGGGUGCGUAGGCGGUUAAAUAAGUUUGUGGUCUAAGUGCAAUGCUCAACAUUGUGAUGCUAUAAAAACUGUUUAGCUAGAGUAAGAUAGAGGCAAGUGGAAUUCCAUGUGUAGUGGUAAAAUGCGUAAAUAUAUGGAGGAACACCAGUAGCGAAGGCGGCUUGCUGGGUCUUUACUGACGCUGAGGCACGAAAGCGUGGGGAGCAAACAGGAUUAGAUACCCUGGUAGUCCACGCCGUAAACGAUGAGUACUAAACGUUGGGUAAAACCAGUGUUGAAGUUAACACACUAAGUACUCCGCCUGAGUAGUACGUACGCAAGUAUGAAACUUAAAGGAAUUGACGGGACUCCGCACAAGCGGUGGAUCAUGUUGUUUAAUUCGAAGGUACCCGAAAAACCUCACCAGGUCUUGACAUGCUUCUGCAAAGCUGUAGAAACACAGUGGAGGUUAUCAGUUGCACAGGUGGUGCAUGGUUGUCGUCAGCUCGUGUCGUGAGAUGUUGGGUUAAGUCCCGCAACGAGCGCAACCCUUAUUGUUAGUUACCAGCACGUAAUGGUGGGGACUUUAGCAAGACUGCCAGUGAUAAAUUGGAGGAAGGUGGGGACGACGUCAAAUCAUCAUGCCCCUUAUGACCUGGGCUACAAACGUGAUACAAUGGCUGUUACAAAGGGUAGCUGAAGCGCAAGUUUUUGGCGAAUCUCAAAAAAACAGUCUCAGUUCGGAUUGAAGUCUGCAACUCGACUUCAUGAAGUUGGAAUCGCUAGUAAUCGCGAAUCAGCAUGUCGCGGUGAAUACGUUCACGGGGUUUGUACACACCGCCCGUCA
rnacentral:rRNA from 2 species